rnacentral:rRNA from 1 species
CCUACGGGUGGCAGCAGUGGGGAAUAUUGCACAAUGGGGGAAACCCUGAUGCAGCGACGCCGCGGGAGUGAAGAAGUAAUUCGUUACGUAAAGCUCUAUCAGCAGGGAAGAAACACUGACCUUACGGUCAGCAGACGGUACCUGAGUAAGAAGCCCCGGCUAACUACGUGCAAGCAGCCGCGGUAAUACGUAGGGGGCAAGCGUUAUCCGGAUUUACUGGGUGAAAAGGGAGCGUAGACGGUGCGCCAAGUCUGGAGUGAAAUGCCGCAGCUUAACUGCGGAACUGCUUUGGAAACUGGCGAACUAGAGUGCGGGAGGGGUAAGCGGAAUUCCUAGUGUAGCGGUGAAAUGCGUAGAUAUUAGGAGGAACACCGGUGGCGAAGGCGGCUUACUGGACCGUAACUGACGUUGAGGCUCGAAAGCGUGGGGAGCAAACAGGAUUAGAUACCCCAGUAGUC